rnacentral:rRNA from 1 species
GUACUGAGACACGGACCAGACUCCUACGGGAGGCAGCAGUAAGGAAUAUUGGGCAAUGGUCGAAAGACUGACCCAGCCAUGCCGCGUGCAGGAUGAAGGCCCUAUGGGUUGUAAACUGCUUUUAGCCGGGAAUAAACACCCGUUUUAUAACGGGCCCGAAGGUACCGGCUGAAUAAGCAUCGGCUAACUCCGUGCCAGCAGCCGCGGUAAUACGGAGGAUGCAAGCGUUAUCCGGAUUCACUGGGUUUAAAGGGUGCGCAGGCGGACAUUUAAGUCAGGGGUGAAAUCCUACAGCUUAACUGUAGAACUGCCCUUGAUACUGAAUGCCUAGAGUAAAGCUGAAGUGGGCGGAAUGUGUUGUGUAGCGGUGAAAUGCUUAGAUAUAACACAGAACACCAAUCGCGAAGGCAGCUCACUAAACUUUAACUGACGCUCAUGCACGAAAGCGUGGGGAGCAAACAGGAUUAGAUACCCUGGUAGUCCACGCCCUAAACGAUGAUCACUCGCUGUUGGCGAUAUAUUGUCAGUGGCUAAGCAAAAGUGAUAAGUGAUCCACCUGGGGAGUACGACCGCAAGGUUGAAACUCAAAGGAAUUGACGGGGGCCCGCACAAGCGGAGGAGCAUGUGGUUUAAUUCGAUGAUACGCGAGGAACCUUACCAGGGCUCGAACGCAGGAGGAAUACUCCCGAAAGGAAGUAGCCAGAAAUGGCCGCCUGCGAGGUGCUGCAUGGUUGUCGUCAGCUCGUGCCGUGAGGUGUCAGGUUAAGUCCUAUAACGAGCGCAACCCCUAUUCAUAGUUGCCAGCAUAUUACGGUGGGGACUCUAUGAAAACUGCCUGCGCAAGCAGUGAGGAAGGUGGGGAUGACGUCAAAUCAGCACGGCCCUUAUGUCCUGGGCUACACACGUGCUACAAUGGCCGGUACAGAAGGCCGCAACCACGCAAGUGGAAGCUAAUCCCUAAAACCGGUCUCAGUUCGGAUUGGAGUCUGCAACCCGACUCCAUGAAGCCGGAUUCGCUAGUAAUCGCACAUCAGCCAUGGCGCGGUGAAUACGUUCCCGGGCCUUGUACACACCGCCCGUCAAGCCAUGGAAGCUGGGGGUGCCUGAAGUCCGUAACCGCAAGGAGCGGCCUAGGGUAAAACCAGUGACUGGGGCUAAGUCGUAACAAGGUAGCCGUACCGGAAGGUGCGGCUG